rnacentral:tRNA from 1 species
GGCUUCGUAGCUCAGUCGGUAGAGCAGAGGACUGAAAAUCCUCGUGUCGGCGGUUCGAUUCCGUCCGAAGCCACCA